AUUGAACGCUGGCGGCAGGCUUAACACAUGCAAGUCGAGCGGAGUUGUGGUGCUUGCACCAUAACUUAGCGGCGGACGGGUGAGUAAUGCUUAGGAAUCUGCCUAUUAGUGGGGGACAACAUUUCGAAAGGAAUGCUAAUACCGCAUACGCCCUACGGGGGAAAGCAGGGGAUCUUCGGACCUUGCGCUAAUAGAUGAGCCUAAGUCGGAUUAGCUAGGUGGUGGGGUAAAGGCCUACCAAGGCGACGAUCUGUAGCGGGUCUGAGAGGAUGAUCCGCCACACUGGGACUGAGAAACGGCCCAGACUCCGACGGGAGGCAGCAGGGGGGAAUAUUGGGAAAUGGGGGGAACCCUGAUCCAGCCAUGCCGCGUGUGUGAAGAAGGCCUUUUGGUUGUAAAGCACUUUAAGCGAGGAGGAGGCUACUGGUAUUAAUACUACCGGAUAGUGGACGUUACUCGCAGAAUAAGCACCGGCUAACUCUGUGCCAGCCGCCGCAGUAAUAC
rnacentral:rRNA from 1 species